rnacentral:lncRNA from 1 species
CUCCGGCUGAAUGCGGGGCAGCUUCUCGGCGACUAGGGGCUCAUUCAGAGACUUAAGUGAUCGCUCUGGGCCACAAAGGACCUUGCCCGCACGAGGCCACACCCCAGCGUGGCCCAGCGCCUCCUGCCAGAGGUCUUCCCGGGACCAGAGGAUGGCGGAGCCCCCACCUGCCAAGGGAGACAUGAUGGGAAUCAGCCGGUGCUGGGAUCGCUUCUGAGGCAGCUGACCAGAGCAGGGAAGGUUCCCUCAAGACCACUCAUUCUUACUGAUGUGCCCCCCCUGCCCCCACCAGCAUGGACGAGAAGAAACACGACGGAGGGAGCUUUGCUUUCACCGCUUCAACGGUCAAAGCUUUUCCACACUGAACUUUACAAGAAGUCACCUUUAUUGACAUUUCCGAAGGGAAAAUACACUCACACUCGUUACAAGUGUGAUGAAGGUGGAGAGAGCAUCCCUGCGGCAGCCCCCGCUGACGCCCUCCCCCCGCCCCGCUUCUCUGCACAUCCGAGCCCCCUGGUCCCAGACCCAGACCCCGCAGUGGUCCCAAACGGGCUGCCCCCGCUCCUGUUCCGGCACCUUCUAUAACUUUUCAGGGCAGCCCCAGUGACAGUCACCGUGGAGCAGGGGCCUGCUCAGCCCCUCUCCCACGCGCCUGCAGGGGCAGGGCCUGGACCACGCCGUCCGCAGCUCUAGGGCACGCACGGAAGCAAAGGUUACCCGAUCUUCUUGUCCUAGGACGGGCGACCCCUCCCUCUCCCUGCCCCCACCGCCCCCCAUACAUCAUCCUGAUGGAAGAGGGCAAGGACCCCCUGGCCCCGUCAUCCGGAUCCAUCCCCGAUCCAGCGUGCAGGACGUGGAAGCAGGUCCAGAGGCAGGUGCGUGGCGGGGAAUGGGCUCUGCAGCGCGGCAGGACCUCGGCGCCCCAUUUUCCCAUGCCCUACACCUCUUUAGGCCAGACCCUCAAAGAAGUAUAUGCAUAGGAAAAAGGAACAGCGAGCAGCGUGGCCGGCACGGGCGUGGGUCCAGGAGGGUCCGACCUGGGUCAGGUGAGGCGCGGGGACAAGCUGCGGGCUCGGCUGGGCAGCUGCAGGCGUCCUGUGGGUGCGAGUGAGCGGGAUGGGCUGGUGGGCUGAGGCGGAGGCAGCGAGGCUGGCCGGGCCUUACCUGGUCAGCCUCGGGUCCGCAGUCUCUGCGGGCGAGCAGGGCCGGGAGUGAGGAGGAGAGCCGCUUGCUGAUUGCGGGCUCUGCCGCUGCGGCCGCCGGGCGCCCCUUUAUGCGAGGCGGAGACCUUGGCGGGCAGCACCCGGAGCAGCGGCCAUCACGUGCGGUCACGGGCUGCUCUGUGCCAAGGACCCCGCCCGCCCCCGCACCUGUGAGAUUGGGGCACAAAGACCCGCUCUGA